GGGAAAAGGUUCGCCCACUGGACCGAGGAGGCAAGAUGCCUGACUGAAGGGACAUUACGACCACUUUACAGGAGUUUUACAGGACUAACACAUGACUUGCCACAACAUGUUGUUGCCAGGAGGAACCGAAAGUUAUCCAACCAGGCUCUGGUGGACUUCAUUGUGGCAAGAGGAACCGAUAACCACAUUCAGUCCAUCAUCAAUGGACAAAAAAAAAUCACAGUGGCUUGACACUUUUUCCAAGUGUUCCAUAAAGAAAGUGCCUGUGCCAUUGUUCAUUGAAGAUCAGGAACAAAUUGAUAUUAUCUACACUCACCUGACUUCAAUUCUGAACAGUACACCCACACACACCCACAGUGACCAGAUCAGAUUUAUUAUGGAUGUCCUUUUUCCAGAGUCCAUCAUCUGUGCUCUUGCUGUUGUGGAACAUGUGUCCAUCUUGAAGGCUGAGGAGAAAUUCCUGCGAGGACCUGU